UGGCGCUGGACCAGCUGUCGGCGCUCGGGCUGGGGGGCGCUGGCGACACGGACGAGGAGGGGGCGGCCGGGGACCCGCCGCCGCCCCGGCCGUCGCCCCCCGACGUGUUCGCGGGCUUCGCGCCCCACCCCGCGGCCCUGGGGCCCCCGACGCUGCUGGCCGACCAGAUGAGCGUGAUCGGCAGCCGCAAGAAAAGCGUCAACAUGACCGAGUGCGUCCCGGUGCCCAGCUCCGAGCACGUCGCCGAGAUCGUGGGUCGCCAGGCUGCAAGAUCAAGGCCCUGCGGGCCAAGACAAACACCUACAUCAAGACCCCAGUGCGGGGCGAGGAGCCGGUCUUCAUCGUGACCGGCCGGAAGGAGGACGUGGAGAUGGCCAAGCGUGAGAUCCUGUCGGCGGCCGAACACUUCUCCAUCAUCCGCGCCACGCGCAGCAAGGCCGGGGGUCUGCCCGGCGCCGCCCAGGGCCCGCCCAACCUUCCCGGACAGACCACCA
rnacentral:lncRNA from 1 species